GUUUUAUCCAAGCAAAGUAGCAUCUAAAGCAAUCACAUUGACUAUCAAGCAACAAUUUGUUGAGCCAUGGAUGACUUGGGGUGCAAUGACGGAAACAAAAAGAUAUCUUCUUUCAGCGUUUUAAGAAAAAAGUUUCAUGGAGAUCUGAACAUGAAGAGAAGAUAAAAAAGAUAUUUCACACAAAAGCAUCUCAUAGGCUUUCUGAAAUGUUCAAGGACGCUCGUAAAAUAAAUAAGAAGCCUGAUUGGAUGUUUGAUACAGUUUGGCAAAGUUUGAUUGCCCAGUGGAUGGCCCCAUAAUUUAAAACAAAGAGUAUCCAAGCUCAAAAAAAUAGAG